rnacentral:rRNA from 1 species
AGAUACCUAAAAAUUUUCAUGAACAUACCCAGUCUCAUCUGAUCUCAGAAGCUUAAGCAUGGUCAGGCCUGGUUAGUACUUGAAUGGGUGGGAUCUAAAAAUUUUUUUAUACCAUUGUCAGGCAAGCAAGAUAUUUA